rnacentral:rRNA from 1 species
UACGAAGGGGGCUAGCGUUGUUCGGAUUUACUGGGCGUAAAGGGCGCGUAGGCGGGCGAAUAAGUCAGGGGUGAAAUCCCAAGGCUCAACCUUGGAACUGCCUUUGAUACUGUUUGUCUUGAGUUCGAGAGAGGUAAGUGGAACUGCGAGUGUAGAGGUGAAAUUCGUAGAUAUUCGCAAGAACACCAGUGGCGAAGGCGGCUUACUGGCUCGGAUACUGACGCUGAGGCGCGAAAGCGUGGGGAGCAAACAGG